GCCUUUAAGAUGCAAUGCUUUCCCAUCCUUCACAGAAAGUGGAUGUGAAGUUUAAGGAAUUAAAAGUUCAAAAAAUUGCAUUCAGAAGGCUAAGAUUAGAAAGAUUCUGCAUAUUUAUCAUGGUUGGUGAAUUGUUCUCCUGAGAUCCGAUGUGCUAUUUCAAGUGCUGAAUUAAUUUAAAAAUGUGAUUAUAUAUCACACAUUUAUUUUAGUGAUUUUUCUGAGAAGUAGUGAGGCUAGUUAAAAUUCUACUACACCUCACAGAGAAGAAAUAGCUUUGAGUAUCCUCAAAGUACUCCCACCUCCUGCAAUAAAUGGAUUAAAAGCAUUGAGAGGCUGUUAAUUAGUCACACUAUCACUUAUUAUUACUAAAGUACAUUAUUAAUAUCAGAAAAACAAUUUUCAAAAUAAAACACUGUAAUCUCUUGUUUAUCCUGAUUUUGUAUCAAUAGAAAAAGGAAGCUAGUAGGUAAUUUAGUCAUAUCCACUGCUCAAUUUAGAAAGAAGUUUCAACUCUCAUGCCAAAGAGGUCUCCUUGUGCAGAAAUUUGGAUAGCAGUUCUGGAUCUCAUUAUUUCAGCCAUUUGGACCUUUGGCAUCUGAUUCACCAAAUGAUAAUGGAUGUCAGUAGUGGUGAUCCUUUUAAAGUGACUGCUGUCUUCUGGAAAAGUUUUUGACUUUCUGAAACAGUAAGGUGUGGAUACUUAUUUAAGUUUGUGAUCAGAAUACUUCAAAGGAACAUACAUCCAAGUACUGUGCUAUGAAACUCUUCAAGAAGAAAAUUGUUAAAUGCACAUCUAAAGUUCUUAAUAAUCUGCAGUGACCUUGGCAACAGCUACACUUAUUUGUAAUGUAUUACUUCAAUUUUACUUUUAAUGAAAAUAUAGGUGCAAGAACAAGACUGAUAUAAUUAGAAUAAAUAUUUUCAGUGUGCUGUGA